rnacentral:rRNA from 1 species
AGAUUGAACGCUGGCGGCAGGCCUAACACAUGCAAGUCGAGCGGUAGAGAGGUGCUUGCAUCUCUUGAGAGCGGCGGACGGGUGAGUAAUGCCUAGGAAUCUGCCUAGUGGUGGGGGAUAACGUUCGGAAACGGACGCUAAUACCGCAUACGUCCUACGGGAGAAAGGCGGGGGCCUUCGGGCCUCGCGCCAUUAGAUGAGCCUAGGUCGGAUUAGCUUAGUUGGUGAGGUAAUGGCUCACCAAGGCGACGAUCCGUAACGU